rnacentral:rRNA from 1 species
GAAGCGGCAACAGCUCAAAUUUGAAAUCUGGCCUCUGCGGGGUCCGAGUUGUAAUUUGGAGAGGAUGUUUCGGGCACGGUCCGGGCUUAAAUUUCUUGGAACAGAAUGUCACAGAGGGUGAGAAUCCCGUCUGGAGUCCGGACACGGCCCAUGUGAAACUCCUUCGACGAGUCGAGUUGUUUGGGAAUGCAGCUCUAAAUGGGUGGUAAAUUUCAUCUAAAGCUAAAUAUUGGCCAGAGACCGAUAGCGCACAAGUAGAGUGAUCGAAAGAUGAAAAGCACUUUGAAAAGAGAGUUAAACAGUACGUGAAAUUGUUGAAAGGGAAGCGCUGUCAACCAGACUUGCGCGUCGGGGUUCCCCCUUGCUUCUGCCUGGGUUACUCCCCGGCGUUCAGGCCAACAUCGGUUUCGGGGGUUGGUUAAAGGCCCUGGGAAUGUAUCUACCCUCCGGGGUAGACUUAUAGCCCAGGGUGUCAUGCGACCUCCCGGGACCGAGGAACGCGCUUCGGCUCGGAUGUUGGCGUAAUGGUUGUCAGCGACCCGUCUUGAAACACGGACCAAGGAGUCUAACAUCUAUGCGAGUGUUAGGGUGUCAAACCCUUACGCGGAAUGAAAGUGAACGGAGGUAGGAAGCCUUAAGGCUGCACUAUCGACCGAUCCUGAUGUCUUCGGAUGGAUUUGAGUAAGAGCAUAGCUGUUGGGACCCGAAAGAUGGUGAAC